GAUGAACGCUGGCGGCGUGCCUAAUACAUGCAAGUCGAGCGAACGGACGAGAAGCUUGCUUUUCAGACGUUAGGGGCGGACGGGUGAGUAACACGUGGAUAACCUACCUAUAAGUCUGGGAUAACUUCGGGAAACCGGCGCUUAUACCGGAUAAUCUUUUGAACCGCAUGGUUCAAAAGUGAAAGACGGUCUUGCUGUCACUUAUAGAUGGAUCCGCGCUGCAUUAGCUAGUUGGUAAGGUAACGGGUUACCAAGGCAACGAUGGAUAGCCGACCGGAGAGGGUGAUCGCCCACACUGGAACGGGGACACGCUCAAGACGCCUACGGGAGGCAGCAGUAGGGAAUCUGCCGCAAUGGGCGGAAGCCUGACGGAGCAGCGCCGCGUGAGUGACGGAGGUCUUCGGAUCGUAAAACUCUGUUAUUAGGUAAGAACAUAUGUGGAAGUAACUGUGCACAUCUUGACGGUACCUAAUCAGAAAGCCACGGCUAACUACGUG
rnacentral:rRNA from 1 species